UACGGAGGAUCCGAGCGUUAUCCGGAUUUAUUGGGUUUAAAGGGAGCGUAGGCGGGUUGUUAAGUCAGUUGUGAAAGUUUGCGGCUCAACCGUAAAAUUGCAGUUGAUACUGGCAUCCUUGAGUACAGUAGAGGUAGGCGGAAUUCGUGGUGUAGCGGUGAAAUACUUAGAUAUCACGAAGAACUCCGAUUGCGAAGGCAGCCUGCUGGACUGUAACUGACGCUGAUGCUCGAAAGUGUGGGUAUCAAACAGG
rnacentral:rRNA from 1 species